AAUAAGUGUAGUUUUACACUAUUCAUCAUCAAAGUUUAACCGUACGUCUUAUUUGAAAUUUUUUUUAUGAUUACUAUUUUUAUUGUUAUUAGAUGAUAAAAUAUGAAUAGUACUUUAUGUGUGACUAAUUUUUUUAAAAAAAUUUAUAAAUUUUUCAAAUAAAACGGAUGGUCAAAUAUUAGACACGGAUUUCAACGACUGUGCUUAAU
rfam:Oryza glumipatula chromosome 4, whole genome shotgun sequence.